AGUGAACGCUGGCGGUAGGCCUAACACAUGCAAGUCGAGCGGCAGCACAGUAAGAGCUUGCUCUUACGGGUGGCGAGUGGCGGACGGGUGAGGAAUACAUCGGAAUCUACUUUUUCGUGGGGGAUAACGUAGGGAAGCUUACGCUAAUACCGCAUACGACCUACGGGUGAAAGCAGUGGAUCUUCGGACCUUGCGCGAUUGAAUGAGCCGAUGUCGGAUUAGCUAGUUGGCGGGGUAAAGGCCCACCAAGGCGACGAUCCGUAGCUGGUCUGAGAGGAUGAUCAGCCACACUGGAACUGAGACACGGUCCAGACUCCUACGGGAGGCAGCAGUGGGGAAUAUUGGACAAUGGGCGCAAGCCUGAUCCAGCCAUACCGCGUGGGUGAAGAAGGCCUUCGGGUUGUAAAGCCCUUUUGUUGGGAAAGAAAAGCAGCAGGUUAAUACCCCGCUGUUCUGACGGUACCCAAAGAAUAAGCACCGGCUAACUUCGUG
rnacentral:rRNA from 1 species